rnacentral:rRNA from 1 species
AGCUCCAAUAGCGUAUACUAAAGUUGUUGCAGUUAAAAAGCUCGUAGUUGGAUUUCUGGUCGUGAGCCCCGGUCCGCCCCGCGAGGGGUGUUUGCACCAGGGGCUGGCAGCCUUUCUCGAGGAAAGCGCUCUCUGGCAUUCAGUUGUCGGGGGGCGAGGUCCUCGUCAUUUACUGUGAGCAAAAUAGAGUGUUCAAAGCAGGCUUAGGCCGUUGAAUACAUUAGCAUGGAAUAAUAAGAUAAGACCUUGGUCUAUUUUGUUGGUUUGCACUCCAAGGUAAUGAUUAAUAGGGAUAGUUGGGGGUAUUCGUAUUCAAUUGUCAGAGGUGAAAUUCUUGGAUUUAUGGAAGACGAACUACUGCGAAAGCAUUUACCAAGGAUGUUUUCA